rnacentral:tRNA from 2 species
GGGAGUAUAGCUCAGUUGGCAGAGCAGCACCCUCAUAAGGUGCCAGUCGUAGGUACCCUUCGGGAACGCUUACGCGAACAAGUCCUGCUACUCCUA